GAAAUGACUGCUAAUACCGCAUAAGCGCACGGGAACGCAUGUUUCUGUGUGAAAAACUCCGGUGGUGUAAGAUGGGCCCGCGUUGGAUUAGGUAGUUGGUGAGGUAACGGCUCACCAAGCCGACGAUCCAUAGCCGACCUGAGAGGGUGACCGGCCACAUUGGGACUGAGACACGGCCCAAACUCCUACGGGAGGCAGCAGUGGGGAAUAUUGCACAAUGGGCGCAAGCCUGAUGCAGCGACGCCGCGUGAGCGAAGAAGUAUUUCGGUAUGUAAAGCUCUAUCAGCAGGGAAGAAAAUGACGGUACCUGACUAAGAAGCUCCGGCUAAAUACGUGCCAGCAGCCGCGGUAAUACGUAUGGAGCAAGCGUUAUCCGGAAUUACUGGGUGUAAAGGGAGCGUAGACGGAUGUGCAAGUCUGAUGUGAAAGGCGGGGGCUCAACCCCUGGACUGCAUUGGAAACUGUAAAUCUUGAGUGCCGGAGAGGUAAGCGGAAUUCCUAGUGUAGCGGUGAAAUGCGUAGAUAUUAGGAGGAACACCAGUGGCGAAGGCGGCUUACUGGACGGUAACUGACGUUGAGGCUCGAAAGCGUGGGGAGCAAACAGGAUUAGAUACCCUGGUAGUCC
rnacentral:rRNA from 1 species